ACCGAAGCAGAUGCUGGGCAGCUGAGAGGAACGAUUGGUUUCAGAGGCUCCAAUUCCUUGCGGUGGGCACCUUCCUCCUCCUCUUGCUGGGAGGUUGGAGGUGGCUGGGGCUGUGCUGUCCACCGCUGGCUGCCAGCUCAGCCCGGCUUCAGAGAGUUGUCACCGGUCUCUGGCUCUAAACACAUUUGUUAGGAAGCAACACUGCCUACUUAUGAAGAUUUAUGGAGAAGCCGACAGACAUUAGGCUCUGACGCAGACCUCAGAAUCUUCUCUGCCCAUGAUGUUCUAUAGGAGAAAUGAGGCUCAGUGUCCCAGGGUCUCUGUCCCCCAAAUCCAGUUAUGAACUCAUCCACGCAUCAGCAGAGAUCACU
rnacentral:lncRNA from 1 species